rnacentral:rRNA from 1 species
UACGGAGGGUGCAAGCGUUAUCCGGAUUCACUGGGUUUAAAGGGUGCGUAGGUGGGCAGGUAAGUCAGUGGUGAAAUCUCCGGGCUUAACCCGGAACUGCCGUUGAUACUAUCUGUCUUGAAUGUAGUGGAGGUGAGCGGAAUAUGUCAUGUAGCGGUGAAAUGCUUAGAUAUGACAUAGAACAUCGAUUGCGAAGGCAGCUCGCUACACUAUGAUUGACACUGAGGCACGAAAGCGUGGGGAGCAAACAGG